UGAAGUAUAGUUGAUUUACAAGGUUGUGAUAAUUUCUACUGUACAACAAAGAGAUUCAGUUAUACAUGUACACACAUCCAUUCUCUCUCACAUUCUUUUCCCACAUAGAUUAUCACAGAACAUUUUUUUUUACAGAAUAAAAUACAUAUAUUUAAACACAAUUACAUUCAGACAGAUUAUCAUAUCAUGGAUCUUAAGAAAAAGAUUAAGUGUAUCCCUCUGGAGAAGUGGAAUGGAAAAUAUGCUGAGACAAAUAGGAAAUUUAUUCUAUGCUUUAUCCCAUUUUGUAUGGCUUUCGUCUUUACUAUUUAGUAUUAUCUAUUACAUUUCAAUUUUUCUUUAAAAAUUAGCAUUAUGUUAAAAUUGUAUAUAUUAUGCAACUAAAAUUUAUAAAGAAGAAAGCCUUAUAUACCUUAAAUAUUUUAUAUAGCAUAAUAAAAAAUAACUGGUAAGAAUAACAAAAAUAAUACACCCUCUGAAAAUAAGUAAAAUAUAAAAUGCAUAAAUUGGUUAAAAAACAGUGUAACUAUAUAAAUACAUCCUCACAAUUUGUAUCAUCUCAUUGAUUCUUCAAUAUAGGCAUUACACCAUUCUAGGCGAUGUGGUAAACAAGACAUUAUAGACCUUACAUUGUACCAUGGAGAGAAAUGGUUAUUAAUAAUACAAUUGUAGAACUGUAUUAUUUAAUUGUACAGUGGCAUUAUUUAAUUAUAGUUAUCAUAAAUUCUUUGAUGGAGAGGAAAUCAGAAUCAGAUCUAAGAAGACUUCAACAUUCCAAGAAUGAUGGCAAAUGACCCCCUUCAUGGUGGAUUAUGCACUUAUUUAUUAUGAGACAUAUUUCUUCUCCAGAGAUUCCUUGUUUGUGUGUCAAUUGAAGAUUUUGGGUUUGCAGUUAAUCUGAAGUUUUGAUAUAAGAGUCUAUAUGUAUAUGAGAUUGUUUUAAGUUGUUGUUCUCUUAAUUGCAAGUUCAUCUCCAGUGUCCUGCAUUGUACCCACCUCUUAUGAGUUCUGAUUUUGAUGGUAUAAUUGUGCAUGGAUGAUUUCGUAUCUUUACUGUAUAUAUACCUUUACUGGUGAGCCUUGUCACUUGCGGAAUUUUUGUUUCCUGUUGCUGUCUUUUCUUUUCUGCCUAGAGAAGUUCCUUUAGUAUUUGUUGUAAGGCUGGCUUAGUACUGCUGAAUUCUCUCAACUUUUGCUUAUCUGUGAAGGAUUUGAUUUCUCCUUCAAAUCUGAAUGAGAGCCUUGCUGGGUAGAGUAAUCUUGGUUGGAGGUUUUUUUCCUUUCAUCACGUUAAGUAUAUCAUGCCACUUCCUUCCGGCCUACAGAGUUUCUGUUGAAAAAUCUGCCGAUAACCUUAUUGGGGUUCCCUUGUAUGUUACUUGUUUCUUUUCCCUAGCUGCUUUCAAGAUUUUCUCUUUGUCUUUAAUUGAUAAUGUGUGAAAUUCAUGCAAAAUUUUGUGUGUACUUGUAGAACGUUUGUCCUUACUGCUUUAUAAUAUGACACUGUGUAAAUAAACCAUUAUUUACUUGUUUGUUUAUCUUACUGUUGAUGGCCAUUUGUUUCCAGGAGUUUCUAGCUCUUGGUUAUUACAAAUAGUGCUGCUAUAAACAUCCCAGCAUUAUGUCUUUUGGCGAAAAAUUGUACAUGUUUCUGUUGGGUGUAUAUCUAAGAAUGGAAUUGUUACAUUAUAGAGAAUAUCUACCUUUGGAUUAUUAGUAAGAAAUUGCCAAAUAGUUGUUCAAAGUGGUUCUAACAAUCACAGUCCCAUCAGCAACAUACAAGAAUUUUUAGGUCCCCUAUAUAAUCACCAAUACCUGUUUUUUUCCAGAAGCUCUUGCUUGAUGUUUCCUUGUUACCACUUACCACCAACAGUAAUCUCUGUGGUGACCUCUGACAGAAGAGUUUAUCUGCCUUUGUACUUUAUAUAAAUGGAAUCAUCCAUUAUAUGUUUAGCCUCUUUUGUUUAGUACAUGUGAAAUUCUUGCAAAAUUUUGCGUGUACCUGUAGAACGUUUGUCCUUACUGCUAUAAGGAGGUCUUUUUCAUUUUAGAUAUUCUGGUGGGAAGUACAGUAGCUUCACAUAUUAUUUUAAUGUGUACUUCUCCAGUUAUUAAAGUUGAACUUCCUUUAAUAAGUGCAUUGGCCAUUUUACAUCCGCUUUCUUAAGUAUCUCUUCAUAUAAUUUUCACUUGAGUUGUCCUGUUAUUUCCUAGAGUUCUUUAUAUAUUGUACAUUGUAUUAAUAAAGAAGAGUUCUUUACAUACUCUUAACAUGAGUCUUUGUCACAAAAGAAUUUAUUUACUUGUUUAUUUAUUUAACUUUUCUUUUUUGACUGCACCCAUGACAUGUGGAAGUUCCUGGGCCAGGGAUCGAACACGUGCCAUAGCAGCGACCCAAGCUGUUAUAGUGACAAUGCUGGAUCUUUAACCCAUGAUGCCAUGAGGGAACUCCCCCAAAAUAUAUUCUCCCACGCUGCAUAUUUUGUUUACCUUCUCUUAAAGUCUUAAAGGUGUUUAUUUGUUUACCUUCUCUUAAAGGUUUGUUUUUUGUUUUUUGUUUUUUUAGGGCCGCACCUGUGGCAUAUGGAAGUUCCCAAGCUAGGGGCUGAACUGGAGCUGCAGCUGCUGGCCUACACCACAGCCACAGCAAUGCCAGAUCUGAACCACAUCUGCGACCUACACUAGAGCCAAGGACUGAACCCACAUCCUCAUGGAUUCUA
rnacentral:lncRNA from 1 species